CCUACGGGAGGCAGCAGUGAGGAAUUUUGCGCAAUGGGGGCAACCCUGACCCAGCAACGCCGCGUGAGUGAAGAAGGCCUUUGGGUCGUAAAGCUCUGUCAACAGGGAAGAAGUUACAAUUGUUUAACAGAUGAUUGUAUUGACGGUACCCUGGGAGGAAGCCCCGGC
rnacentral:rRNA from 1 species